rnacentral:pre_miRNA from 1 species
AGUGGAAUAACUGGGUCAUAUGGUGAUUCCAUUCCUAGUUUUUUAAGUAAUCUCCAUACUGCUUUCCAGAGUUGUUGUACUAAUUUGCAGUCCUACCAUCAAC